UGCUGCCCUGGAGCACCAGGUCUGGCAGCGCUAUAGCCAUGCGGCCCAGCUGGGGCUGCAGCCACGCUGCCCAGGCACUGGGGGAAGCUGCGACUGCGAGGGAGGGAGACAGGGGAGCAGAAGCGGGGGCUUAAGGGCUAGCCUCCGCCCCAUUCAUUGUGCUGUGGGGAGGUGGGCUGGCUUCUCUGCAAGCCUCUUCUGACCCACUCCCUGGCAGGAGCUCAGAGGCCAAAGGGAAGGGUCCUGUGGGUCGGAUGCGGCCCGUGGGCCGUAGUUUGGCCCCGUCUGCUCCUAGAGAACAUGUAACACAGUUGGACACAAAACUGAGCAAAGUGAAACUGACUAGUAAGAAAAACAUCAAUAUUGUUACCAUUUGAACACAGAAUUUAGCCUAAAGUUCUGAAGUUAGAUAACAAAAACCCAGUUCUUCUUGAAUAAACACAAGACUGAGCCAUGGAAGACAGACAUACAAUGAAAAUAAAUACAGUGACACAGCAGAUAAGAUCUUAAAAGGUUAGCAUACUGUGGCUGGAAAAGGGUAAGAUGGAUUAGAGGCCAGUUAAGAACUAUGAAGGACUCUGAGGAAAAGAGUUGUACAAUCCAAAUAUCAAUAUAAUUUAGGAUUUACUCAAAGGAAACAGCAACUACAACAGGAUGAAAAAACAAACUGUUUGAGGGGAACUUCAGGUGUUUUCCUGCUAUAUCAGUCAUAUGCAAGUAGUUUCAAUUUAAAAAAAAAUAGUAUCACACACUAGGAUGAGUGUCGCUAGUGACGAGGAGGAAGGUGAUGGUGAAGAUGAAGGCUAGUGCUAACACUUCAGGUUGUUCUACAAGGCCCAGGGAGCCCCUGCUUGAAACACUGGCAAUCACUCACUACCAUUCUUUGUAGCCGUGUGUCUGGUUGCCUGUGCGCGCUUGGGAAGAAUGUGCUGCUGAACUUUCAUUCCCAUCCAGUAAGUCAUUGCGUGUGUGGCUUAUUUCGUGCUACCAUAUUCCUUGGUUAGGUAUCAAUCUCUGUCAGCAUACCAGACUCAUGCCCCUUACUUCUGCUGGGGGUAUAAUCACUGUGGCCUACUAUGAGCUCUCAGGCUGGUACAAACAUAGAAUCAUAGAUUAUUAGGGUUGGAAGGGACCUCAGGAGAUCAUCUAGUCCAACCCCCUGCUCAAAGCAGGACCAAUCCCCAAAUCCCUAAAUGGCCCCCUCAAAGAUUGAACUCACAACCAGCAAAGCCAUUUGAUUGACCUCCUCCCUAUUCCAAACUGCUCACCCUUGCCAGCUGGAGGGCUCUUUCCAUCAGAAGAGGCAACAGUGGAUGCAUGCAGGACUGUUGUAUGUGAUGAUGUAGGGGAAUAAGAAGUUUUAGGUCUGGUCUAUAAUACAGAGUUAUGUCAACAUAAGCUGCCUUACAUUGACCUAACUGGCAGCAUCUACACUUAAAUUUCACUUCCACUGACAAAUGCCCCACUACACCUACUUAAAAACUCCACUUGUGGCAUAGAAUAAAGGUCAAUGUUGUGUCAGUGUAGACGCUGUGUUGCUUAUGUUAACUGCUACAGGCUUUCAGUAGCUGUCCCUCAAUACCCUAUACUGACAGUACAAUCAACACAAGAACGCCUGGUAAGGAGGCACACCACCAACUCAAGAAGCAAAGUGUAGACAUGCACAAGUGAUGUAAUUACUGUAGUGGUUACAUGCUGACGUAAGUUAGGUCAACUUAAUUUUGUAUUUGAGACAGGGCUUAAACUGGAGAUGAAGAGAAGCAGUAGCAUAACCUCUCCAGGGCAAAUAUAUAAAGGAAAUGUGUAUUUACCUUGUUUAGAGCAAAGGACACAGGGACAUCAAGACCAUCAUUAGCUACAGCUUUAUUCAGUAUGUCCAUUGUUUCCUCAGUUAAACAAAUCCUGCAAUAUUAGCGAUUGCUUUGGGCAGUAACCCUACAAUGUUAUUCAGACAGGAAACCUCCCAAGUCCUGCUGAGAGACAUGCUGUUAUCACCUUCAAGCUCUCAGUAAGUACACACCCUAUAUCACUCCCCGUGGCCGGUGAUAUACAAGAGAUCAGAGUAGAUGAUAGAGUGGUCUCUUCUUGUCUAAAGUUUUAUGACUUUAUGAUAACAGAUGUUGGUAUUUUUAGAUUAGGUGUAUCCCCCUCUUAGCCUAAACAUGAAGGGGAAAAGAAGGAGGAAAUAUUUAUUUUACAUAAGCAAUAGUGUUGCUAAUGUUAUUGCUGGCAUUUACAAUAAAAUGUGCAAUAAAUACAGUACAGACUUAACAAUAUACUGAAUUUAUAUUAUUCCUGCUUCAAAAGAAUGUGUUUCAUCAGCUUUAAUACUUACACACAUUUGUGGAAGUCAUUGAAAUUUAAUUAUUUUGCAGGGAAAACUGAAAGUAUAACAUUGCAGUUGGUUUACCACUGGGAUCUGUUCAGUGAAGGAUUACUUACAGUCAGGAUUAUCUUUCUAGGACAAUAGAGAAAACAUUUUCAAAAAUAGUUCUAGGGACAAUGGUCAAUCAAUGCUCAUUUCAUUUAUAUAUUUCAUUUCUCAGAUCACCCAACAAUUGAUACUAAUUUCUCAGAAAUUUUCAUGUAUAUACUUCAUAUAAACCACAAAAAUUAUAUAUACAGUAAACAAAUGUUUAAGGAUCACAGCAUGGAGGCUGGCAGGAGACAUAUAAGCUUUAAUGCGUUAUCCUUUUACUUAUAGAUGCAUGGAUUUUAAUCUUAGUUCAAAUCCCAAGUGAAAAUGUCAGUUAGUUGAUUUCAUUGUAAAUCCCUAGAAAGCAUCUGUCCACAUCAUAAAAAUAAUAUAAUCAGGCAUAAGUCAGCAUGUUUCAUAGUCUGAUCUUAAGGGAGGUUUACCCCAGCACUGGUAUGGCAGGCCUGUUGCAGCUCAUGACUGUAGUAUAUUGGCAGAGCAGGGGGAGGAUGAGAUCACACAGCACUUCCUCUGAAUUAUACCUAGGCAAUACUCACUUUCAUAAGCACCAAAUCUAUCCAAUAACAUAGCAUAACAUUUUCCAAUUCUAUACUUUGAAGACACUAAAUGGCAUCUGAGUUUUCAAAUAUUACUGCCAAGUAUUUUCUCUCAAGCAUUAGUUUGUUGUGACAUUUCACCCACUUGCUGUUGUACUAUGGAUCUGUCACACACAGCAGGUUUUUAAUUCUAGUACCUAUUAAUAGGAGACAAGCCUCAUUUGUUUAUUUAAUUGGCUUUAAAAGCACAAGAGAAAAUUUUAAUAAUAUGCUAUAAUCAAAAAGAAAAAGUGAAAAGUCCAAAAGUAAACAGAUAUACAGAAAAAAGGAGACGAAUAAGAGAUGUUCUACACAUGUUCAUCAUGUCAAAGAUCGACAAGUGUCCCGUUUACCAAGUACCUUGAAGUUAUUCCACCUAACAGUGACUUCAAUCAAUCCCAUGUUUCAGUUUCUGGUGAUACAAGGAAGGGAAGAACAGUUCCAUUUGAUGCAACUGGUUCCUAGCUUGUACAAAUGCACAAGCUAACCAUUUCUCUUGAGCAUCAAUCCAAUAUCCACAAAAUAACAAAAGAGCCCAGGUAAAGAUAUUGAAUGAAAACCUGAUUCUGUUGAAGUAUACAGUAAAAUUCCCAUGGACUUAAAUAGGGUUUGGAUUUCACCAUUGAGCCUAAAUACGUGUAUACAGUUUAGUAGAGACCACUCUUCCACAUACCUUAUGAGUCUGGAAAAUCCACAACAGGAAAAAUCUUUGAUCAGAAUUACUCUAUUUACUAUUUAAGGACAUUAAUACUCUCAAGCUGGGUAGACUGAUUGGAUGGAAAGGUUCCUAGACAUGUCAUCACACCAACUUUUUUUCUUCCUUUUUCAAAUUUGCUAGGAUCCUUUCUAGUUGGGCUGUUUGACCAACCUUGAUGAGUUCCUAUUUAUUAUAUGCCACCGUGUGUCUGGCCAUGUAAGCCAGUUAAUGGUAUGAAUUCUUUAUGUGAAGGGAAAAGAAAAGUUCCCCCUAAACCAAAGAAUCACUUGUAAAAAUCCAUUUCUAAAUGUAUUGCAACAGCAGGCAACCUUUGGAUAGGGGAUCUAAUGAUGUCCUCAAUCCCUCCAAUACUUAGUAUUACAGACAAUCAAUUUUCUUUGAAUAGACUGGGAUAGCUACAUACCCUGUCUAGCAUUCUAAUAAGAGAGCUUGUCUUCUUCCUAUAUAGAGCUCUUUUUUGUGGAUACCGGUAAAUUUAAGGCUGUGUGUGUAAUGUGACUAUGUGGCUGUGCAAAGGGCCCAAUAAUUGCUAUUUAAAGUCAAUGACCAUUUUGAAAAUUCCACUAAUUCUAACUCGUUAGAUUGGAGAAAGAUUUCAAAUUGUGAACCAAAUGUAGACUGAUGCAGUGACAUCAGCAUGAAUUUACAGAUAUCAGCGCUGUUAGUUCUAGUUAGGUAUGAACCACCCCCAUUCUUCUCAAGGUGAUGGUAACUCCUAUCCCUAAUUCCAUUUUAAAUGUCAUUUAACUAACCUUGUUUGAACUAAACAUUUAAACUCAACACAUCACUAGUGACUGUUUCAGCAGAAACACACACUUACCCAUGACUACUGGAUGCAGUUGAAGAUGUUGGGGCAGGGCACUAUGAACUGCUAGUUACUGGGAUGGAGAAUUAGAAAUUCAAGCAUCCUCCUCAAAAAUCAGUCACCACUGCCUCUGCCCAAAAGGAGGGAUGAAAGGGGAAAUGCAGCCCCUUCCCUAGUGCCAAAAUCCUCAGCUGACCUCGGGGACCCAAUAUUCCAGUCAUGUCCCCUGCCAUCCCAGGAACUAAAAAUCCCAACCCAACUGUCACAACCUUCAGUCCCCACCCGCCCCCCAGCAACUCUUACAGGGCAAUUAUGUACCUUCUAUACGAAAAAUCAGCAGCACAUUGAAAACCGAAAGUUUGUGGGCAAAGGACCUUGGAUUGACAUCUUAAAGAAAAAAUGCGUCUAAGUCCUUUACACUGCUUUGAAAAUCUCAACCAUUGAAUUUAUCAAAAUAAGUAAUGAGGGAUACUGUACUGAUUGGGCUGAGCUGGAUUGGGGGGAGAAAAAUGAGGGAGGAGAAGGUAGAGGGAAGAGGAGUUCUAGAACCUACCUUAUAUGUUAGGUUUAAGGAACAGGCUAGCUGUAGGGAGAAUAGCUGAAUGGUUAGUGUAAGUUGGGACUCAGGCAAGCUGGGUUUGAUUCCCUACUCUGCCUUCCUGCAUGAUCUUGGGCAAGUCACUUGGGGUCACAUUUUUAAAGGUGUUUAGAUGCCUAAUGAGGCAAAUACCCAGCAGUACUUACACAUCCAAUUCUGUUGAUUUCAAAAUGAAAAUCCUACUAGGUUCCUAAAUACCUUUACAAAUCUGGCCCUUGAUCUCUCUGUGGUUCAGUUCCCCACCUGUAAAAUGGGGGUAAGAGCACUUCUGUAGCUCACAGAGGCGUAGUGAGAGUAAAUACAUUAUAGAUCGUAGGAUAUUGUGGUGAGAGGGCCUCUAAAGAUCUAAACUAGAUAGAAUGUGCUGCAUAGAAGUUGCAUAUACUUGACCAUUCCUCCACAAACCUAGCUGGCAGUUUGCUUAGCAUUUCUGAGGCAAACAAUUGCACACUCACAGUUAAGGGUAGAGUACAUGUCAAUAUCUUUAGGGGAUCCCUUGAGCUAGCCAGUCCUCCUAGUUGAAUUAAUCACAUUCACAAAUCAAAGCAGGAUUUGUGGAUGUCAGAGCAGAUGGCACAGCAUGGGGGAGCAGGGCAGGCAUUAGGAUUUUCCAACUGGUUAUGUAUUAAAUAAUAAAUCUUUAUACGGAGGAUGCAUAAAAGGAUCACUCCUGCCCUAUUCUGAUUGUAUUGAGCUCCCUUCAGACAGGUGGGCAGCUGGGUCCCCUUUAUCUCCUGACCCCCUUGCACAAACAAUUGCUGAUGUAUCCUUCGCCCCCACACACCCUUUUAGUUUUUCUCCCCUGGUCUUUUCUAAACCCCGCCCCUUCCUAUUUCUCCACUGCUGAGAAUGUUACAGCACAUGUUGCUCUGCAGCAGGGUUUCAUUGUAGCUUAGUUAAGUGCCAAGAGAACAGAGAAGCCAGGCUCCUGGAGCUAGCUGCCUUAUAGGCCAUUGCAGCAGCAGGGAUGGAUAGUAUGUUCCUGCCAGAAAACCCCUAUGCUGCUUUUACCCACACGAGCAGAACUACAUUUGCAAUGAGAGGGGGACUACCAUGUACCUAUCCCAAACAUCCACAUCUUUUCUGCCCGAACCCUCUGUGCUAUUCUAGCUUCCUGCUGGGGAAUGCUUGUUUAGUACAGCUAAAUUAUUAGAGCAGUCAUAUUAGGUAUAAUCUCAAUGGAGGAUCAGUUAAUUUAGGUAGGAGACAUCUCUGCAACAUGAACAGUGAAAAUUACCUAACUGAAAGGAUGUUUGAGGUUCCCAAAAGAGUGGCAUAUUACAAAAUGGUUGUGGGGAAAUAAUCAAGAGGUGAAAGAGGCUGAUGAUCUCACCUAUUUUGUAAAUCUACUCUUAAAAAAAGUUUGCUUUAAUUCCUGGUGUCCUGAGUAGCUGUCUAGAGCCUCCAACCACACCAAGGACUACAUUGUUCUAGGUGCUGUAAAGAUGUACCAUAGAUAGCCCUUGUUCCAAAGCAUUUAUACAAUCUUAAUUUAAGACCCUUCAGUCUUUAUUCACACUAUUAUGUGAGUGACAGGAGGGAAUAGAGGAAAGGGAUAGUGAUAAAAGCAUAUUUCUGCACAGGUUAGCAGUGGCCUUUUCAUCUCCUGCUAAUCAAGAUCAAUAAGUGGACCAGAACCAGUAUUCUCAGUUUGCUACCUCACAAGUGAUAAAGAUCAGUAGUUGAUAGAAAAUUUGAAUAGAGUAAUUGCUCAGUUAAACUUUCAUACAAAAGUGUCAUGAUCAAUAAAUAUAUAUGGAACAAGAUAAAGCAAAAGUCAGAGCCCCAUGUAUUACACAGCUGUCAAAUUUGCCACCAAACUGCACUUCAGAAUAUAAGCAUUCAUAAACAGUUAUGGUUGUAAAGGAAACCCUGAAAACCACAAAUGGAGCAUAAGCUUGUCCAGUGUUGUCUACCAUAAGCAACAGCUCAGAGGUGUGAACUGCCCAUUCAUCUCAGUCAUGUCGAUUCUGAAACCUAACAACAACAAAUUAAACAUUCAUAUCUGUAGCGACUUCACUGCUGAUCAUUUUGGCAGAAAACAUCCCACAAUCCCAAAUUGGUUCCUAUGACCUCUAGGGAGCCAAACACCACCCCCAUCCAAUUACCAAGAGUGGUUACUUACUGUGACAUUCCCCAGGGUGUAAUCUGGACUGAUUAACAGCUGUGUCCCCUCAGUUCUCCAACCUGGGAUGCCUUUUACACUGCUUUGCUGUGAGAGCAACUCCUUGUCAGCUCACACAGCCCCCAGCAUGUAAAUCACUCCCAGCUACGUUGUAUGAGUGCUGUAGCCAGCCACUCAUGAACUAAACUGCAGGGGAACACCAUCAGCAAAAUUCCCAGACUCUCUCUCAGAAAUGGGCAUCUUGUACUGCCCAGCACACUCCUGGACAACACAAGCUCAUCUUAAAUCCAUCAUUUUAUUAUUAAUUGAAAAUGGUAUGCACACAUCUUGCUAUUCCAAAUGGAGUUUCCCCAACCACUUCUAUCCAAAACACCCUGAUCUGAAUAAAACAAGUUUAAAAUCUAUUUCUAUAGUUAAUAGAUGACUCCAAGUAAUGAGGCAUGUCAGAAUUGGUUACAAGGACAUAAAAGGCAAAACACAACCAACAAGCUAAGUCUCUCUCACCACGUUCCCGCUGUCUUACUGGCUGAACAUCUUUCAGUCAAGAUCUCACCCCACCCCUCCAGUCCAAUCCUGCUUCCUUGUUCAAGUCUUGAUGAUGCCAUUGGUGGAGAGCAAGGGGAAGAAGAUUGCGGGGGAGAGGGUUUAACUUCUCCAUUUAUAGCCCUCUCUCUUGUGCAAGAAUUAUCUCCAGCUGAUGUUCAGGAGACAGAAAAUUGGUAUAGUCAGGAACUUUAAUUGCUGCUUUGUCAAAAUGUAGCUCUCUCUUGCCCAAGAGUGGCCACUCAAUCAGGCAGUGGUCCAUUUGAUCUCACAGGCACCUGGCUGAGGCACUGGCUAGCCUUUUGUCCCUGUUGAACUUGUCUGGGUAAUAUACAGUAUUGUCCUGGUAAAAUGUGUGACAACAAUCAGCAAAUCAUGAAUUUUCAAGUGAUACCUUACACAGUAUGCUUUGUACAAAAUUUAACAGUCCUGCAAGAGGGAUGAAUAUGGGGCUACAGACUAUCACAGUAGGCAUUUACCUUAACUCUGUACUUCCUGGUUUUCAGAUGUUUGAAACUCAGCGUUCUGGAAUGGCACAAGCUUUCAUAAGGCAAUCUUAACUCUACAUUAAUGAUGCGAACCAUUAAUAGCAGCAUCUGUCAUCGCUGCUAGGACCUCAGACCCCAAUACAAUAUCAAGGAUAACAUCCCCAACCACCACUCACUUUCUUCCUCUAAAUAUUCUGCAAUUCCAGACAGAGUGGGGACAGAAGAAGUGAUAGUGUGGAUCCACACAAAGGCAGUUGUCUCAUUGCCCAUGUGGCUCGCCACUGUAGAGAAGUAACAGGCAGGCUUCCAGCACCAAAGGAGUGCACUGUGAGGAAUCUUUCAUGCAGUAGUUACAGGACUGCUCUGCCAAACAGUCACAGGUCUAGAGACAAAAUCCAAAGAGUUUCCAUUUUUACAGCUACAAACAGCUCUCACUGCAGGUUUUCUGCUUUGAUAAGCACUUGUGCUUAUUCACAGCAUUUCCUUGCAGCCUCUCGAAUGUUAGCAGGUUAUUGUUCUAUUGACUCCCUAGAUUGGCCAUGUUGCAACUCCCUCCCCCCUGCCAUCUCAGGUGACUGAGAAAGGAUGUACAAAAGUCAUCUGAACCUUCUCUGGCAGAGAGCAGGGAGGGGGCUGAGAACUAGGGCAGCAGAAUUAAAUCAAUGGCAGAGCUAGAUCAAAAGGAAGAGGUAGGCAAGGAAGGGGAAAGCUUGGCUAUGGCUACAUUACAGAGCUUACAGCGAUGCACUUCACCACUAUAGUGCUCCUAGUGCUGGCACUAUGUUGGUGGUAGAGCACUCUUUCCUCCACUUAAUUACUCCAGCCCCUGCACGCAGCAGUAGCUAUGUUAGUGGGAGAAGCUCUCCUGCAGACAUAGUGCUGUCCACACUAGUGCUUGGGUUGAUGUAACUUACAAUCGCUCAGCGGGGGCGGCUUAUUCAUACUUACAACUUAUACUGACUUAGUUAUGUGUGCACACAUAACUAUGCUGUAGAAGUUAGCUUCCUCUGAGUAAUUUAGCUGGGAGCAGAGGCAGGUUUAUGGAAUCAAAGCGAUGAACUCGAUCAACUUAGUCCAUGGUAGCAUGGUUCCGUUAAAAAGGGGUCUAAUGACUGCUGCCCUGAAACCCCACAGCCACAAGUAUUAUUUGUGCUAAGGCCCAUUCUUGACUGUGUCAUCUUAUACUCCUGGGGCACAGGUGUGAAAAGUUCUACUACUCCAAUUUGUUCAUAUUUUUACUAUGACCCAAGGCAAUGGAGAAUCAGGAUUCCAUUUGCUUCCCCCUCGCUGUGACUAUGUUAGUUAAGGGCAACAAAGUUAGCCCUAUCUUAUGGAAGACGAAGCCUCAUAGGGGUAAGAGGUAGAGACCUCCCCAAUUGCCACAGUCAACCCUGAUCCCACAGGUGGAGGAGGAAAGAAUCAUGGCAUGGCACUUGUACUCUUCCCACCCACCAGGUCCACUAGCUCCUCCUCUCCCCAGAAGGGCUACUCACACAGUGCCUGCUGCUUAAAGGAGAAUGGAAUAAAGGCCUAUUGUGGCUAGCCUGCAUGUGGGCCAUGUGCCCAGCAUUCUGUAGGCAGCUAAAACAAGAACCAGAAUAGUGAUUUGUGUAUUCACAUUUUAUUUAAACCAGUACAAGCACCAUGCUUAGCAAACGAUUUGGUUUAAAAAUAAACAUGCAGUGUGAACUAGCAGAGACUAAAUACCUGAUGGAAGUUGCGCCAGUUAUUGGCAUUAACAGUUACAUGGAAUUGUUAGAUUAAUAAGACUGACCAUCAAUAUUUCCAAGGCUCCUGAUCUUUUUACCAGCUGUAGCACCGGCAGCUUGCCCUGGCAUAUAUAAUCAGCACCCAAAGGUAACACUGUACACCUGACCAAUGUAAUAAAUGCAGAGAAAGAAAUGGAAAGCGUCCACUGCAGCCUUUACUCCCAUCACAACUCACUUUUGCAGUCUGAGCAGAAUGCUGUGACAUGCUCACAUUCCAGAGCACAACUGAGAAAUUAGAGCCAUUUUUUUAAAUCGGAAUUUUCUUGUUUUUGCACAUUUAACUUUGACCCUUAGCAUUAAUUUAAUGCAACUUCUGGACUAAACGUCAUUUUAUAGUUUAAGACACAAAUCUCAGCUCAGUGGGGAUGUACAAGGCACCUUUACACAAUACAGUGGAAGGUGUAGGUCCCAGCAUUAUUGGCAUUCUGUUCUAUCAAGGGAGGCUACAUAGUACGAGGAAUACUUUUAAACCACCAAAUAUCGCAUUUAAUUUUUUCACAAACAUAUGCAAUAGAACCAGUCCAUCUUAUGAAGUGAAAACAUGCAAAAACGCUCAUGCUUUAGUCAGUUUGGCUUUUCCUCACACACAGGAUUACAAGAGAUUCUCCCCCCUGCCCCAUACACCUAUUUGAAAUUUAAAACAGCCAAAUUAAGUGUGGCAGAAAAACCAACACUUAUUAGAGAGCUUUAAGUAAAGUUUCUGGUCAGGAAACAUUUUUAUGGCUGAGUUAUUGACUCCUGAAAAAAAAAAUAGGAGUUUCUAAUGGAAAUGCUGAGUGACCUUUAGCUACAAAGGUUAACAAGUCUUGUGAUAAUUAAAGCACGCCUCUAUCCCAUAUUUUGAGUUCUUUUAAAGAGAUCUCCGAAACACUGGCAGAGAAGAGAGGAGUUUGGUUACAUCAGACAGGCAUAAAUUAAACUAACAAUAAGCAAAGUUAGAAUAUACUGGCUUUCCGAACACUAUGUAUCUGCCUGCUGCUAAUCUUCAUGGGUAGUCGUAAAGACAGGCAGUUUGAACAACAGUCAGCGAUAUGACAGCAUUACAAAUCUCACAUCCACAGUAGAGAUUUGAAUGGGGUUAGUCAUGCCUUUACUUUAGAAGUACUGUAGUUCUGCACAAUACCAUAUCUCAGAGCCAGUCCUGGGACCUUGAGACCUGGACAGUGAGCAGCAGGAGACUGCACAGUAUCUUGACAUAUAUUAAGUGUAGAUAUGCUGCUGUUUUAGGGCUAUUCUCUGCAAGGACUCCCCCCACAGUAGCUGCAGUUACUUCCCUCUCUUUCGCUGCAGAACUGAGAAGAAAGGGGACAACAACUUACAGAGCAACACUGCUGCCUGAUCCACCAAGGCUUUUAGAAAUUUAUUGCCUGUGUAGGCCCUACCCAUCACAUCAGUCUUCAGAGCAGUUCCAUAUGACUGGGAGUUAGGCAAUGGAGGUUCUUGAGGAGCAGCAUAAAGGGAAGACUCUGGGGUAUGGGGUGCAGUGAAGGCAAGUUAGAAGAUAGGGCAGCAGGAACAUCUGAGAUCUGAAUGGGGUGGGUGGAAUGGUGAAGUGCUGAAGAAAGGAAUGGGAAGAACUGAACAGGAGGAAGUGCUCUUGGUAUCGGGAAUCAAGGCAGGAGGAGACUCUGUGCAGAGAACUGGUGACACCCCAGGUGAGUCUCACAGAAUCACUUAAUUUGUAAGUACAAUUAUAAGUUUAGCACAGAAAACCCCAUGUUUUCAUCUAAAAAGACACAUUAAGUUUUCUUGAUGGGGCACAUUUCCCUCCCCCCCCCCCCCCAUGAGCAUUUGUCCUGCUUAACCCUGUGCAAGUAGUAAGGUGGCUUUUGCCAGUCCAACAUAGCAUACAAAGCACAUUGGUCUGGUUAGAGGUUUACAAAUCCAGUUUUCCCACCGCAAGCUAGGCUGAAUAUUAAAGAAUGUCAAGUUCACAGCACAACUGGCAGUUUCUUUCUGCCCUACUGGACUUUGAUAUCACAAUGCCUUAUAGUUCAUGCAAUACAAGUGAAGCAAGACCUUCAAGUCAGAUUUUUUUUUUAAGUUGCUUUUGAAAGUAAUGCCAAUUUAAAAGACAAAAGCCUUAUUUAUACAAGUCUGCCACUAAAGAAAUCGCUUCUAUUGAUCUGUAGCACAUGAAAAAGACAAAGGAACAUUUUUUACAAUCAAUACAUGUUCUGUCCAGGGAGAUGAGGAAAUAAUGUUGUUCCAGUUCAAUCCUUGUGUUGAUGUAUCUUAUUUCCUCCAGUUAAAGUCACUUUUCCUACACUGAACUAAUGGUCUUUCAAUCACAUCAUAACCUGUACACACUGAAAAGCCCUCUUAUGUUUGAGAGGUGUGUGUGUAUGAAGGAGGAAUCAAUAAGUCAAGCUAAACAUGACCUGCUGCUACUGAAGAGCACUGCAUGGGUCCGUAUGGUCGUCUUAAACAGAGUCACGUUUAAUACUCUUACGCAGCAUGCGUUUGCAAGAAACCAUGCAUUCUCCCAGCAAAGGUUUUACAGAAUGAAAUACUGGCCUCCCAAAUUAACAACUGAUUAAUUCACUCCUCACCAGCACACACAUUAUUAGGGUAACUAUACUUUAAGCUACAGCUGUUCAUGACUAGAAGCUGCUCAUGAGAAGCCACUUAUUCAGUAGCAUGACAAACACUCAUGUGAGUCAUAAUUGAGAUACUGUCACAGGAGUACCUGUUUGCCACUGCAUGGGCUAAACAGGAUAUCCCAACUCAAACUACUAUUCUACUUUAUAUAAAAACAGACCCUUUAAAGGGUUAGUUUUUAGCAGGAUUAUAAAAAGUACUAUUUUCAUAUUAGAAUUUUUGCUGUUUUACCAAAAAGAGAUGAAACUUAAAGACUGAAUGAGGUUACUUAUGAGCAGAAGUCCUAGCGGGAAUGUAGUUUUAACUGACAAGCAAUUAAGCUAGGAAACCUCCUUUCAUUAAAAAGAUACAAGGUCUAUAUAUGGCCAAGGUUUCUCAACAACAA